rnacentral:rRNA from 1 species
UACGGAGGGUGCAAGCGUUAUCCGGAUUCACUGGGUUUAAAGGGUGCGUAGGUGGGCAAGUAAGUCAGUGGUGAAAUCUCCGGGCUUAACCCGGAAACUGCCAUUGAUACUAUGUGUCUUGAAUACUGUGGAGGUCAGCGGAAUAUGUCAUGUAGCGGUGAAAUGCUUAGAUAUGACAUAGAACACCAAUUGCGAAGGCAGCUGGCUACACAAAUAUUGACACUGAGGCACGAAAGCGUGGGGAGCGAACAGG